GUGCCAGCAGCCGCGGUAAUACGUAGGGGGUGAGCGUUAUCCGGAAUUACUGGGCGUAAAGCGCAUGCAGGCGGUUUGGUAAGAUAGGCGUGAAAGCUCUCGGCUUAACCGAGAGAGGUCGUUUAUGACUGCCGAACUUGAGUAGAGUAGAGGAGAGCAGAAUUCCCGGUGUAGUGGUGGAAUGCGUAGAUAUCGGGAGGAAUACCGGUGGCGAAGGCGGCUCUCUGGGCUUUUACUGACGCUCAGAUGCGAAAGCGUGGGUAGCGAACGGGAUUAGAUACCCCGGUAGUCCACGCUGUAAACGAUGGAUGCUAGGUGUAGCGGGUGUAGACCCCUGCUGUGCCAAAGUUAACGCGAUAAGCAUCCCGCCUGGGGACUACGGUCGCAAGACUAAAACUCAAGGGGAAUUGGCGG
rnacentral:rRNA from 1 species